GAUGAACGCUGGCGGCGUGCUUAACACAUGCAAGUCGAACGAAGCAUUUAGAACAGAUUACUUCGGUUUGAAGUUCUUUAUGACUGAGUGGCGGACGGGUGAGUAACGCGUGGGUAACCUGCCUUGUACUGGGGGAUAGCAGCUGGAAACGGCUGGUAAUACCGCAUAAGCGCACAAUGUUGCAUGACAUGGUGUGAAAAACUCCGGUGGUAUAAGAUGGACCCGCGUCUGAUUAGCUAGUUGGUGAGAUAACAGCCCACCAAGGCGACGAUCAGUAGCCGACCUGAGAGGGUGACCGGCCACAUUGGGACUGAGACACGGCCCAGACUCCUACGGGAGGCAGCAGUGGGGAAUAUUGCACAAUGGAGGAAACUCUGAUGCAGCGACGCCGCGUGAGUGAAGAAGUAAUUCGUUAUGUAAAGCUCUAUCAGCAGGGAAGAUAGUGACGGUACCUGACUAAGAAGCUCCGGCUAAAUACGUGCCAGCCGCCGCCGUAA
rnacentral:rRNA from 1 species